CGGAGACUUAGAUGUUGGCGCGGUGCGGCGGGAUGGAGGACUGGGCCAGGGCGGGCUGAAGGGACCUGGGCCGCGCCCUGGGAUGGAGCGGGCCUGGGCAGCGGCCUGUCAGUGCGCUCACGCCGCCCGCCGUGGGAGGCUCUCUGUGCGGGAGGGUAGGCGACAGCCUCCGUGCGGCUGCCCCGGGACGUGGACACGUUGUCUUCCACUGGUACGUGAACUCUGAACUCAGUUUGGAGAGAAAACGUAUGUUUCCCAAGCGAUCAGAGAACUAGGAGCCGUUCAGGCGGGGCAGACGGCAUCCAUGAACCCCGGGGUGUCGGGGCCUACGUUGCUUGUGUUCGCUGGCGCCCCAAGUUAGGCGCUGGAGAGGCGAGCGGGACUGGGGUGAGGAGAGCAGGGGCUCUGGUCUGGAAGCUUCCCUGUCCGUGAGGGCUCGAGCCUGGGUUUCAAGGAGCCUCAUGCAGUAGAAGCAUCUGGCUGUGGAAGUAACUCAGUGCAAGGGGGAGUGGAAAGAGCUGAGGACUCUGAGUUUCCACUUCUAGCGAGGAGCCAAGAUGGAGGUCACAGGGCGAGAGAGAGAGAGAAGGAAUUCCUGGUCUCUCUAGCGGUGUUGAGUUUAGGAUUCUGGAGUGUGUGGCUGGAUGUGCAGGAAGGAAUGGCAGGGACAGGGAGCCCUGGAGGCAGGCAGGUCUGGACUAGAGACGGAGCAUGGGGCGGUCCCUGAAACCCCACCCCACUAACAGGGAAAGAGGAAACCGGAGAAGGAAGGAGAAGAAGCACCCUCUUCCCCAGCCUUGCAGCCAGACUAGUCCCCUUCUGGGUGCAGCAUGACGAACGAAGGGGACUUUUGUGUGCAGGUAUAGUGAUAGGACUAAAUCUGCUCUGCCACUGCUGUGUGUCAGCACGAUGUUAAGGUCUAUAAAUAGUACUCAUUUAGUCCUCACAGCAGCACCAUGAGGCAGGGCCUGCUAUUCUCCCAGAAGUCUAUAGAUGAGGAAACUGAGGCCCAGAGAGGUGAAGGAGGGCUGUUCAGGGUCCUACAGUGGCAACUGGUGGAGCUGGGACUUUGAGACCAGGCAGGCUGGCAGCAGAAUGGGUGCUCCCAGCCCUCACCCUUGGAUGCCUCUGGACAAGGAAGGAGAGAACAGAGGGUGGAGGUGGACACAGACAGUGGGAGACUGCCCAAGGAUGGGCAGGAGUGUCAGGACACGAUGGCUUCAUGUAGAGUCUUGGGCAGCUUUCUUAUGUGUGGUGUACAUUUGUGUGUGUGUGUGUGUGUUCCUGAGUGAGAGGGCAGGGAGAGGACGAGACUGGGCGUGUUGGCCCCUCUGCCAAGGGCUCAGCUGUUGAGGAGCAGCAGCCUAGGGGUAAGAGCGGGGCGCUGGGAUGCAGGAAUUACUUUGAGCAGAAGGAAAACCUCUCCCCUGAGAAGUUGAGAGGACCCACUAGGGAGGGUGCAGGCCUAGAGGAGUUUGUGUGCCAGGAAAGUGGAGUUGUCUAGGGUCAUCCCUUGGAGUGAAUUAGGAGGCAGGUUUGUCUGCACAGAGAGGAUAAUGGUGAGAGGGGCUGGAAGAGGGAGUUCGAGCAUGGACUUGUUGCUGUAAGGGGGAUGGAGAUGGAGUGGAUGUCGGUAUCGCAGUCUUAUACCACACAGGACUCAGAAGCCAGCAGGGGCAGGCUGAGAGGGCAGCCAGUGGCGUGGGGCAGAUUGUGCACAGCACCCAAGUGAGAGAGGCUGACUGCUGAGCCCUGGAUGGAGGAUGCUAAGAGAGAAGGCAGGGGCAGUGGACUGGGCAGGGGUGUACCAGAGCAGGAGGCUGAGAGCUAGGAUGGCAGGGUGCUUAGGGCCAUGGGUGCAGAGUUCCUGGCUUCCUACUCCCUAGCCAUAAGGCCUUGAUUAGGGUUUACUCAAGCUCUUUCUGCCUUGGUGUCCUCGUCUACAAAAUGAGGACAGUACUGUUAAUCUUCCUUGUGGGGUUGCGGGGAGGAUCAGAUGCAUGAAUUCAGGCAAGUACUGGGCACAGCACCUGGCUUACAAGAAGUACAGCCUGAGUGGUUGGUGGAUUCUGAGGGGUGAAAUGCAAGGAGAGUGAGGCAGGGGAGGAGGCUAGGGUCAGAGGCCCCGUGGUGUUUUAAUUCACAUGUCUUUGACUCAGAGAGCAGCUUUUUUUUUUUUUUAAAGAUUUUUUUUAUUUUUUCCUUUUUCUCCCCAAAGCCCCCCGGUACAUAGUUGCACAUUCUUCGUUGUGGGUCCUUCUAGUUGUGGCAUGUGGGACGCUGCCUCAGCGUGGUCUGAUGGGCAGUGCCAUGUCCGCGCCCAGGAUUCGAACUAACGAAACACUGGGCCGCCUGCAGCGGAGCGCGCGAACUUAACCACUCGGCCACGGGGCCAGCCCCUCAGAGAGCAGCUUUUUACAUGGAUCAGCCAUGCCAUUUAUUUUAUUGUGAAUUACCUGUUCAUGUCUAUCACUUGCUCCUCUUCUUUCUCAUGUCUUUAUUUUAAUAAAGAAGCUUGAGUCUAAUUUUGUCAAGUUCAAAAAAUAAUUCUGGUGGCCUUUUUAUUGAAUUUACACAUUAAAUUUAGGGGAGUUAAUUAUUUUUUUUAACAGGUUUUGGUGUUCUGAUCUCAGAGCAGAGGGAAUCGACCUCUCUCACACAUUGUUGGUGGGAGUCAUAGUAGUGUGAAUGCAACAGCCAUUUGCCGGAGCUUCUGCAACAUUUACUGAAAUUUUUAAAUGCAGCCAUGCUCUUGGCCUUGCAGUUCUACCUCUUGGCAUUUCUGUUUCAGAAAUCCACAAGUGUGUAAAAUAUAUGUGCAAAGAGAUUUGUUGCCCAUUGCUUAUAAUAGCCAAAAAACAGGACAAACUUAAAUGUCCAUCAGAAUAACUUAUGGUCCCUGUGUAGAGUGGAUGAUCAGAUAGCUUUAUAAAGGAAUACAACUGAUGUGUUUGUAUGGAUAUGGAGUGGAGUCCAGGAACCGUAAGUGAAAAAAGCUUCCAGUUAGUACACGUUGAUUA
rnacentral:lncRNA from 1 species